rnacentral:lncRNA from 1 species
GUCUCCGGCGUGUCCUGCAUCUCGGCAGCCAGCUCCUCUGCAGCUCAGGCCCCGUGAGUCACAGCCGCUUCCUCAAAUGCUUUGGCUGACCGCAUCCCCCCGCCCCGCCAGAACCCUGGAUGCCGGAGCCCUCCCAGCGAGAGCCGUGUUUAUUUUACUUUACAUACAUUUUCCAACACGGAGCGGCUUGCACACAUGCAGCUCUUAGGCCCGGGCCGCACGUCUCAGAAGCCCCGUGUGCGACUUUGACCGCCGCACGAUCCUCUGCCGGGGGAGGUGGGCCCGCUGCGCUUUGGGAGCACCCGCGCCCGACACUGAGGUCUCGGUGCUGUGUUCGGCCUCUUCGUCCCUGCGGGUCCCCUCUGGGAGCAGAGGCGGUCGGAAAACCCUGGGGCUGAAGUGCAGGCUUCGGGAGGACGCGACCUGCCAAGAUCAGCUCCCGGCACGUGAUGGGAGCCUGGCUCACCUUCCCCCAGCGCACGAUGGGCCGCAGCCUCCCCGGUCGGCCUGGCCUGCUGGAAAGGAGCAGCUCUGUUUCCAGAGGCUUCUGGCGAAGCCCACGGCCUCCCAUUGUUGGCUGAUUUAUAAGGAAAGAGGGGAAAGGCCAAGUGUGGAUGCCAUUAGCAUAACCUAAUCCAGACCCCAUGACAAGUCCAGGAUCCUGCAGGGAGAGGGCAUCCUUGAACGUGAAGGACUGGCUUUGGAAACUUGGCCUCCCGGAAGAAAGGUCUCCGGGCCCACCCACACCCACCUUGUGGACGCCCCCGCAGUCGAAUACACUCCACAGGAAGACGGACCACAAACAGCAGCAGCCUCCGGUGUCGGCCCAGUGAUCCGGGAGCUCAGAGUGUAGGUACCUGACGGCUUGACUCGUCCCCAGGACAAGGCCUGUGAGAGGGAGGGGGGCACUCUGAGUGUGCGAAUGUGUGAGUGUGUGUGUCUGGGCACGAGUGUGUAUGCGUGUGUGUGUGCAUGUACUAUAUUCACAUGUGUGAGAGUGUGAAUGUGUGUGUCUGUGGGUCUGCGCACAUAAGUGUGUGUGUGCAUAUACUAUAUUCACGUGUGACUGUGCAAAUGUGAGUGUGUCUGUAGGUCUGGGCACGUGUAUGCGUGUGUGUGCGAGUACUAUAUUCACAUGUGUGAGUGUGCGAAUGUGUCUGUGGGUCUGGGCACACGAGUGUGUAUGCGUGUGUAUGCAUGUACUAUAUUCACGUGUGUGAGUGUGCGAAUGUGUCUGUGGGUCUGGGCACAUGAGUGUGUGCAUAUACUAUAUUCACAUGUGUGAGUGUGCAAAUGUGAGUGUGUCUGUAGGUCUGGGCACAUGUGUAUGCAUGUGUGUGCGAGUACUAUAUUCACGUGUGUGUGAGUGCGAAUGUGAGUGGGUGUGGGUCUGGUCACAUGUAUGUAUGCAUGUGUGCAUGUAUUAUAGUCAUGUGAGUGUGCAAAUGUGUGAGUGUGGGUCUGGGCACACAAGUGUGUAUGCAUGUGUUUCUAUUGUAUUCAUGUGAGUAUAAGUGCAAAUGUGUGUGUGUUCUCUGCACACACAAGUGUAUAGGUAUGUUUGUGUGUGCAUGCAUUGUAUUCAUGUGAGUGUAUGUGAAUGUGUGACUGUGAGAGUUUGAGUGUGCCUGUGUGUCUGGCUAUACUAGUGCGUGCCUGUGUUCGUGUGCAUCAGUCUGGGUGUGCCCGUGUGUGAAUGUGAGUGUCUAUGCGUGGGUGUCCCAAUAUGUGUGUGCCUGUGUAUCCAUGUCUGGGUGUGCCUGUGAGUGUGAGUGUGCACAUGGGUGUCUGGAUAUGUGAGUGCUUGUGACUACCUGUGUGAGUACCCAUGUCUAGGUGUGCCCGUGGGUGUGAGUGUCUGUGCGUGGGUGUCUGGAUACGUAUGUGCCUGUAUGAGUGUGUAUCCAUGUCUGGGUGUGCCCACGGGUGUGAGUGUGAAUAUGUAAGUCUUGCGUGUGCAUGAGUGUGUUCACAUGAGUGUGAGGGUCUGUGCAUAACAGCCUAUUGUGUGAGUGUGUGCAUGUGGAUUGCAUUUAUGUGAGUCCGUGUCUGUGCACGCACGUGUCCCCGCACAAGCCAGCCCGAGAGGGAGUGUCCCCUGAACACACCCUGGCAGCACUUGCAGCGUGACGAGGUUGAGGGAAUGUGUCGCUGAGGUCGUAAAUGCCUCUCGCACGUCCCAACACGCUGGAGCAACAGCAGCCCGUGACGCCGGCCGUGCAGCCGUGAAGUCCGUGGAGCGUCCCUAAUCACUGGGGGUUCUGCUUUGCGGCGACAGCGGUGCUACUCACAGCUCCAGAACUCUGCAGCUUCCCCCCUGAAACGGGAACGGGAAGGUGGCGCGGGCGUCCACACCUCGAGCCACAGCCGGCGGGAGGCACAGGCUGGCAAAACUGCCUCUCAGUAGUGAGAAGAGACAAACAAACCGAACGCCAGGAGCAGAGGAAACGAAGACGAUGUGGCCAAGAAAAAUUGCAUUUUUCUUUCCAGUUUUGCUAAAAUAGCCUUCUCAUUGGCUGCGGCUUUGGAGGUGGCAGAAAUCAUACGUUUAAUCACGGCGCCCUCCUGCUUGCCAAGGUUAGCAGGGGCUGCACUGCUGUGCCCUCCUGUCCCUGGAGGCUCUGGUGGCCCCAAGCCCCACACUGCCAGGCUGGGUGCCAAGCUGCCGUGACCCCGGAAUUCGGCCUGUGGUGAUCGGUCUUCCCUGGCACGGAGCUGAGUUAGGGGCUCUAGAAUCAGUCCCAGCCACGUGAGGCUCUCCCUGGGAUGUGAGGGUCGUCUCGUCUGUUUACACGGGGGCCACAGUGCAGAUCCCAGCCCGGGCAGGGGAGGGGCAAAUCUAUGCCCACUUCAAGCUUCCACUUCUGCCCGCCUCAAAGUGCCGGAGACUCCGGCACCUCUGCGUUCCUCCUUCCCGGUAGGAACAGAAAGCUGGGAAAGGGCUGGGGUGGCAAGGAAGAGCCCCAGGAAGACGCGAGUGGCUCUCCCCACUCCCUACAGGACCUCCCUCCCCCAAGCCCAUGGGCCGCCUUCUCCAGGGACGCUUCCCUGUCCCACCCACCGGGCAAGGUGGGCCCAGCAGGGUCUCCUUUUCACCGUGCGCCCCCUCCUGUGGCCGGGUCCUGGGCUGAUGACUUCACAUGCUGCUUUUACAAGUCAGGUUUAUUGCGGUAUCACGUACACACAUAAGGCUCACCCCUUUUCGAUGCACAGCCGACGACUUGCUUUGCGUCCUCCAGAAUUGUCCUGUGAGUGACUCCCACAGGAUGGAGACUUUUGUGUCUGGCUUCCUUCACUUCGCAGCAGGCUUCGCGGGACCCGUGUGGUGGCACCAGCGUCCCGCCCUUGGUGCUGCUGAGCUUGGCUCUGCAGAAACCCAUGAAAGAGGAUCCUGAAAGAGCAAGGGCGGCCUCCAGGUGAAGGUGGUGGGCGGCCUCCAGGUGAAGGCGGCCUCCAGGUGAAGGUGGUCAGCACCCUCCCUUUGGCCAAGAGGAGACUGCAGUUUCAACUCAAAGAUUAUUCCUGAAUGAUGCAGCAAGCUUAAACUUCCUUAAAAACAAACCUCUGGGAAGAGGAAAACGAGGCAAGAUGCUGAGAAAAAGUCAUCUCCCACUCUGCCCUUCUCUGGCAAAUCGAAGUGUCCUCUUGUGGGAGGCGGUGGGCAGCGACACUCCUGUUGGACGUCAGUGCUCUCGGGAUGGGCCCGGCCACCCCGGAGCAGAACUCACUUAGGGCCUGGUGCCCCUGUGCCCAGUUCUCAGAACGUCGGAGUGCUCAGUUCUCAGAACGCCGGAGUGCCCCAUUCAUAACCUGCAGCCCCGUUCAUAGCCUGCAGCUCCCCUCCUUCCUCUCCUCCCGGUCGUCAGGGAGCACCCCCAGCUCCCCUCCCCACUCUCAAACCCUCCUCCUCCCUCCCCUCUCUCAUUUCCCUGUUUGCAGGAUCUCCUCCUGCCCACUCUCCAGCCCAGGUCCUCCCCUCUCAUCUCCAAUUCUGCUUCAUGGGCCAUGACAGCAGGCAGGCCAUGGCCUGCUCUCAGCAGUUUGAUCGAUGGACUAAGGAGAUCACUCCUAUGAGAGUGAAAAAGUCAAAUGUGCCUGAGAUUCGGAUGGGGAGCUCUCAAAGCUACGGAUUGCAAGAGUCAACACCGCCUCAAAAGUACAAGGCCGGCCGGGUGCAGUGGCUCACACCUGUAAUCCCAGCACUUUGGGAGACUGAGGCGGGUGGAUCACCUGAGGUCAGGAGCUCAAGACCAGCCUGACCAACAUGGUGAAAUCCCGUCUCUAUUAAAAAUACAAAAAAGAUUAGCCGGGUGUGGUGGUGCAUGCUUGUAGUCCCAGCUACUCGGGAGGCUGAGGCAGGGGGAGCACUUGAACCCGGGAGGUGGAGGUUGCAGUGAGCCGAGAUUGCACCAUUGCACUCCAGCCUGGGCAACAGAGUGAGACCCUGCCUCAAAAAAAUAAAAAAAUAAAAGUACGAGGCCCGGUUUAAAUGCAGGAGGAAUCUGGUGAGCGAGUUUCACUCUGAUGCAACAGAAAAGCCAAGCCAAGCCUUGGCUGUGCCUGGUCUUGGCCGGGGAGCCACAGGCAGGGUCUGCUGGUUUCGGUGUCAGGGGCACAUCCCCAGGACCACGUCUGAGAUGGGAAGUGCCUUGAUGGAAAACUGAUACCUUUUUCUUUCCGAGUAACUUUAGAACAUGUCGCUUCAAAUAUAACUAAUAUCCUGAUUUCAGUGGACUUGCAUGGAAGGAAACGCAAGUUCAUUUGCCAGUGGGGGGUGAGGACUGGGAGAGUGGGGAGCAGGGUGGGGAAGAGGGGAGCAUUCCACAAGCCGCAAGAGCCUGGACACCUCCAGCCUUCAAUAAAUAGCAUUUGAAUUUGC